UACGUAGGGGGCAAGCGUUGUCCGGAUUUAUUGGGCGUAAAGAGCGUGUAGGCGGCCAGGUAGGUCUGCUGUGAAAACUCGAGGCUUAACCUCGAGAUGUCAUCGGAAACCAUCUGGCUAGAGUCCGGAAGAGGAGAGUGGAAUUCCUGGUGUAGCGGUGAAAUGCGCAGAUAUCAGGAAGAACACCAAUGGCGAAAGCAGCUCUCUGGGACGGUACUGACGCUGAGACGCGAAAGCGUGGGGAGCGAACAGG
rnacentral:rRNA from 1 species